rnacentral:rRNA from 1 species
UACGUAGGGGGCUAGCGUUGUCCGGAUUUAUUGGGCGUAAAGAGCGUGUAGGCGGCCAUGUAGGUCCGGUGUGAAAACUCGAGGCUUAACCUCGAGAUGUCAUCGGAAACCAUUUGGCUAGAGUCCGGAAGAGGAAAGUGGAAUUCCUGGUGUAGCGGUGAAAUGCGCAGAUAUCAGGAAGAACACCAAUGGCGAAAGCAGCUUUCUGGGACGGUACUGACGCUGAGACGCGAAAGCGUGGGGAGCGAACAGG